rnacentral:tRNA from 1 species
CUAGAUCUGUAAGCUCUAAAUUGGGAAGAGCACUCGGGUCAUUACCUGAGAGGUUGGUGGUUCGAAUCCACCCAGAUCUGUC